rnacentral:rRNA from 1 species
CGAGGAAAAGAAAUCAACCGAGAUUCCCCCAGUAGCGGCGAGCGAACGGGGAGGAGCCCAGAGCCUGAAUCAGUGUGUGUGUUAGUGGAAGCGUCUGGAAAGGCGCGCGAUACAGGGUGACAGCCCCGUACACAAAAAUGCACAUAUUGUGAGCUCGAUGAGUAGGGCGGGACACGUGGUAUCCUGUCUGAAUAUGGGGGGACCAUCCUCCAAGGCUAAAUACUCCUGACUGACCGAUAGUGAACCAGUACCGUGAGGGAAAGGCGAAAAGAACCCCGGCGAGGGGAGUGAAAAAGAACCUGAAACCGUGUACGUACAAGCAGUGGGAGCCUCUUAAUGGGGUGACUGCGUACCUUUUGUAUAAUGGGUCAGCGACUUAUAUUCUGUAGCAAGGUUAACCGAAUAGGGGAGCCGAAGGGAAACCGAGUCUUAACUGGGCGUUAAGUUGCAGGGUAUAGACCCGAAACCCGGUGAUCUAGCCAUGGGCAGGUUGAAGGUUGGGUAACACUAACUGGAGGACCGAACCGACUAAUGUUGAAAAAUUAGCGGAUGACUUGUGGCUGGGGGUGAAAGGCCAAUCAAACCGGGAGAUAGCUGGUUCUCCCCGAAAGCUAUUUAGGUAGCGCCUCGUGAAUUCAUCUCCGGGGGUAGAGCACUGUUUCGGCAAGGGGGUCAUCCCGACUUACCAACCCGAUGCAAACUGCGAAUACCGGAGAAUGUUAUCACGGGAGACACACGGCGGGUGCUAACGUCCGUCGUGAAGAGGGAAACAACCCAGACCGCCAGCUAAGGUCCCAAAGUCAUGGUUAAGUGGGAAACGAUGUGGGAAGGCCCAGACAGCCAGGAUGUUGGCUUAGAAGCAGCCAUCAUUUAAAGAAAGCGUAAUAGCUCACUGGUCGAGUCGGCCUGCGCGGAAGAUGUAACGGGGCUAAACCAUGCACCGAAGCUGCGGCAGCGACACUAUGUGUUGUUGGGUAGGGGAGCG